rnacentral:rRNA from 1 species
GACGAACGCUGGCGGCGUGCUUAACACAUGCAAGUCGAACGGAAAGGCCCUGCUUUUGUGGGGUGCUCGAGUGACGAACGGGUGAGUAACACGUGAGUAACCUGCCCUUGACUUUGGGAUAACUUCAGGAAACUGGGGCUAAUACCGGAUAGGAGCUCCUGCUGCAUGGUGGGGGUUGGAAAGUUUCGGCGGUUGGGGAUGGACUCGCGGCUUAUCAGCUUGUUGGUGGGGUAGUGGCUUACCAAGGCUUUGACGGGUAGCCGGCCUGAGAGGGUGACCGGCCACAUUGGGACUGAGAUACGGCCCAGACUCCUACGGGAGGCAGCAGUGGGGAAUAUUGCACAAUGGGCGGAAGCCUGAUGCAGCAACGCCGCGUGCGGGAUGACGGCCUUCGGGUUGUAAGCCGCUUUCGCCUGUGACGAAGCGUGAGUGACGGUAAUGGGUAAAGAAGCACCGGCUAACUACGUG